AGCGAACGCUGGCGGCAGGCCUAACACAUGCAAGUCGAACGAACCCUUCGGGGUUAGUGGCGGACGGGUGAGUAACACGUGGGAACGUGCCUUUAGGUUCGGAAUAACUCAGGGAAACUUGUGCUAAUACCGAAUGUGCCCUUCGGGGGAAAGAUUUAUCGCCUUUAGAGCGGCCCGCGUCUGAUUAGCUAGUUGGUGGGGUAAUGGCUCACCAAGGCUACGAUCAGUAGCUGGUCUGAGAGGAUGACCAACCACAUUGGGACUGAGACACCGCCCAAACUCCUACGGGAGGCAGCAGUGGGGAAUCUUGCGCAAUGGGCGAAAGCCUGACGCAGCCAUGCCGCGUGGAUGAUGAAGGUCUUAGGAUUGUAAAAGCCUCUCACCGGUGAAGAUAAUGACUGUAGCCGGAGAAGAAGCCCCGGCUAACUUCGUGCCAGCCGCCGCCGUAAGAC
rnacentral:rRNA from 1 species